UACGUAGGGAGCGAGCGUUGUCCGGAUUUACUGGGUGUAAAGGGUGCGUAGGCGGGUUUGCAAGUCAGACGUGAAAUACCGAGGCUUAACUUCGGGGCUGCGUUUGAAACUGUAGAUCUUGAGUGAAGUAGAGGCAGGCGGAAUUCCUAGUGUAGCGGUGAAAUGCGUAGAUAUUAGGAGGAACACCAGUGGCGAAGGCGGCCUGCUGGGCUUUAACUGACGCUGAGGCACGAAAGCAUGGGGAGCAA
rnacentral:rRNA from 1 species